rnacentral:rRNA from 1 species
AGCUCCAAAAGCGUAUAUUAAAGUUGUUGCAGUUAAAAAGCUCGUAGUUGAAAUUCUGGUUGUAUUGGGCCUCUGCACUCGAUGCGAAGGAACCAGCAGUCAUCCGCUUGCAAAUACAUGUCCUUCCUUAACCGGUAGGCUGUAUAAGUAAGCACUUUACCUUGAGAAAAACAGAGUGUUCCAGGCAGGUUUGUCCGGAAUGCGUUAGCAUGGAAUAAUAGAAUAUGACUGAAGUCGAUUUAUUGGUUAAAGGCUUUAGUAAUGAUUAAUAGGAACAAUCGGGGGCAUUGGUACUUAUCAGUCAGAGGUGAAAUUCUAGGAUUUGAUAAAGACUAACUGAUGCGAAAGCGUUUGCCAAGAAUGUUUUCA